UGCAUAGAAUACAUCCUCCCUUCAGUUGGCUUGGGUCAACUUAGGUCAUGGGCCACCUGGCUGAUAGCAGUUUCCACAGAAAUGCUUCAAGAUGGAAUCUCUGGACACUCCAAGGGUUGAUCCUCUCAUGGAAGACCAGUGGGGAGGAGGCUGCGGGAAAGGUCAGGCACUGUGCACUUCCCUGACAGCUGCAAAUGGUUGUUUCCAAGCCCACUGGUCACUACAAAUAAGAAUUUCUGGUUUUUCCUGUUGGAGCCCAAGGAGCAAGGGCAGAAUGAAGAACAUGAUGUUUCCUACCGACAGUUACUCAUGACGUCUCCAUCCAGGACUGAGGGGGGCAUCCUUCUCCAUCUAGGACUGGGGGCAUCCUUCUCCAUCCAGUAUUGGGGGUCAUCCUCCUCCAUCCAGGACCUGAGGGGUGUCCUUUUCUGCGCUUCCUUGGAUGGCAGUCUUUCCCUUCAUGUUUAUAGUGACUUACCAUUAAAUCACUGUGCCGUUUUUUCCUAAAAUAUAUGGGGC
ensembl:lncRNA PSLNR prostate enriched lncRNA